rnacentral:rRNA from 1 species
AUACAGAGGGUGCGAACGUUGCUCGGAAUUACUGGGCGUAAAGCGCGUGUAGGCGGACAGCCAAGUCAGGCGUGAAAUCCCCGGGCUCAACCCGGGAACUGCGUCUGAAACUGGUUGUCUCGAGUGUCGGAGAGGGCAGCGGAAUUCCUGGUGUAGAGGUGAAAUUCGUAGAUACCAGGAGGAACACCGGUGGCGAAGGCGGCUUCCUGGACGAUUACUGACGCUGAGACGCGAAAGCGUGGGGAGCAAACAGGAUUAGAUACCCUGGUAGUCCACGCUGUAAACGAUGAGUGCUAGGUGUCUCGGGUAUUGACCCCUGAGGUGCCGUAGCUAACGCGUUAAGCACUCCGCCUGGGAACUACGGCCGCAAGGCUAAA